GCAAACUUGGUCAUUUAGAGGAAGUAAAAGUCGUAACAAGGUUUCCGUAGGUGAACCUGCGGAAGGAUCAUUACAGAGUCCAUACCCUCACGGGUAGACCUCCCACCCUUGUGUAUAUAUACUUUGUUGCUUUGGCGAAUAGUGCGAGUCUCUCGCACCUCAGCCUUCGGGUUGUGAGUUCUUCUUGUUCGCCAGAGGAUACCAAACUCAUAUUUAUUAGUGUCGUCUGAGUACUAUAUUAAUAGUUAAAACUUUCAACAACGGAUCUCUUGGUUCUGGCAUCGAUGAAGAACGCAGC
rnacentral:misc_RNA from 1 species